rnacentral:lncRNA from 1 species
UUCAAGAAAGCAUUUUUAAGCUACGCUUAAGCGUUGAGCGAUGGCAAAGCGCUUCGCUUUUGCCCUAAGCGGUAGAUUAAGCGUUUUUUUAUUUGGCCAGAAUUUGACUCUUUUGAACUACUUUUGCUUGUCUGCUUGCGCAAUAAUGGCAAUAUCCCAUUUAUCUUAUUAUUAGGCUCUGUUGGGGAACUAUUUCCUUCAUAUGCUGGCAAAAUUACGGCCACGUGAUCUUUAUUAGGCUAUGACUAUUUGAACUGAACUGCAUUUUAGUUGUUAUUUUUCUUGUCGUAUGAACUUAAUGUGUAUUCGCUAUGGUGUGAACUGUAUUUUAGAUGACUAUUCAAUUAUACAUGUGCCAUGUUUCCUAUUUUCCUGUGUGUAUUAUUCAAAAUCUGUCAAAUUCUAGCCAAUUUCAAAAAACGCUUAAAUGCGGUUAAACUGCGCUUAAGCGUCCAUUGCUCUAUGUUGUGGCCUUCCGCUUCACUUACGCUUUCCACUUUUUUGAACGUUGUUCACAAAUGAGCGCAGGUUUCUGUUAGAGUAAUAUAUAUGUAGCCAUGUAACCUUUCAUAUUUACCCUAUUGUAUAAGGAGUUUUCUGCAUAUUACACACCUGUACAUGUAUAUAUACUGGCCUAUGGCCUCCUGGAAAUAUAAGUUGCAUAUUUCCUAACGUGGUAUUAGAGCUAGGUCAAAUCUUUUGCACCUUGCAACUCGUGCUGUAGAUCCUACGUGGCCACCGCCGCUGCUGCUGCUUUUCUCUCCAUCGUAGCUGCCAGUCUCCACGUCCCGCUCCUCUCUGAUGCCGGUCAACUCAAGGCCGCUCCUCUCCUACCCGCGUACGGAUCGAGUCCUGCCUGCUUUUCUGGAUCGAGCCAGCACCCGCUCGAUCGAAGUCGGGUUUUCUUUUUCUCUGGAUCGAAGUUGUCCCCGUCGCCAGUCGGGUUUUCUCUGGAUCGAAGUCGUCCCCGUCGCCAGCACCCGCUUGAUCCUGCUCCCGCCGCCAGCCGUCGUCCCCGUUGCUUCUCGCUGAUCUUCGUUGUCGGAUCCUGCUCCUGACGCCAGCUGACGGCCUCCAUUCCCUCGCCGGACGCCGGUCUCUGCAGUCUCCGUUGCCUCGCCGGUCGCAGUCUCCGUUGCCUCGUCGGCCGUCGGUCUCUGUUGCCUCGCCGGAUCUAGGGUCCCUCGCCGAGCUGCUGGUCCUCGCCGGCUUCCGCACCACUCGCCCCUCGCCGAAUCAUGCU